AUAUUACAACACAAACAGAAACACAGGCAGAUCAUGUGUCUUUCCAGACCUCAGAAUGUCCUGGUCUUGAAGGGGACUGUGAGCAGGAAAGUCGAAACUGUACACCUACCUGUCAGAGGUGUUGUCCAUCUCUGGGAGUCACAGACAUGCUACAGGAAAGGUGAGUGUCACUAAAUUUUCAUAUUUUUUCUCACAUUUUUGUUGAGGCUGCCCUGCCGCUAUAUUACAUUUGGCAUCGAGAGUGCUGAAAGUGUAUUGUACAGUAUAAGACCUUAAAGUUUUUUUCUGAAUGAGCUAAAACCUCACAAAAGUGUCAGUUUAUUCAUAAGUCUGCAACGUGUUGUGACUGCUCAUAAACCAGGUCAAAAGGACUGAAUUUCAUUGCAGUUUUUGUUUUGUUUCUGUUUGUUUGUUUUAACAUAGCUCUCAAAAGGAAUCGCCACAGGGAGGCACUAAAGAGUCAUUAAUGAAAUACAGGCCCAAUAAUCACAGCUUUGGCUUCUAGUUAGGCUGGCCUACAAGCCACACUUGUUAUAGUACGUAGCACUUGCAAUUAGCAGCUUUUUUACAUUUUAGGUGGAAAAAUCGCAGGAAAAUCAGCCUUGCAUGAUAACAGGCCCCGGAACGUAGCAAUGUGGUCAAGGUCUCUGCUCAUUCCUGCCCCGUACCCCCUUCAGGACAGACCCCCAGAAGCAGCAUCUAGAAAAAUCUGCCAUGAAAACAGAGCAUAGCCAGUCAGACGGCUGGAGCAGUGAUGAAGUAGAGGAUGGUGAUGAUGACGACAAUGCUUCUCAGCCAUUGCUUCCCGAGACCGUUCGUUAUACAGGUCGACCGAUUGUGUCAGAAGAGGAGCUUGCUAGACUUGCAGUGAUAUCCCCAUCUAAGAAUGGGCAGUACUCUGGCUCUAGGGUCAAAGCCCUCAUACACGCCCUUGAACAGUUAGAAAAACAAGAUCUGAUCAAAGAGUUUAUGGCUUUAGAGCAUUUGAAACCUUCAGACAACUGCCUGGUUGGAAAAGCACAUGAAAACCGGAAGAAGAACAGAUACAGAGAUAUCCUGCCCUGUAAGUUCCUCUGCUUCUCCUAUAAUCCACCACAAACCUAG
rnacentral:lncRNA from 12 species